GAGACAGAGUCUCGUUCUAUCACCCAGGCUAAAGUGCGGUGGCGCUAGCGAUUCUCGUGCCUCAGCCACCGAAUAGCUGGGAUUACAGGCGUGCACCACCACGCCCAGCUGAUUUUUAUAUUUUUAAAUAGGGUUUUGUCAUGCUGGCCAGGCUGGUCUCGAACUCCUGGCCUGAAGUGAUCUGCCCCCGUCGGCAUCCCAAAGUGCUGGAAUUCCAGGCGUGUGCCACCGCGUCUGGCCUCAAAUAGGCUUGGUCUGUUCCACUCCUUUCCCCUAGGAAAAAGUCUAUUUAGGGAUUGCUUGCCAAUCCCUAAAGGUUGGAUCAGGAGUCCCAGACCAGCCUGGGCAACAUGGCGAAACUCUGUCUCUACAAAAAAUUAGCCUGGGCUGGGCAAGGUGGCUCAUGCCUGUAAUCCCAGCACUCUGGGAGGUCGAGGCAGGUGGAUCACGAGGUCAGGAGUUUGAGACCAGCCUGGCCAAAAUGGUGAAACCCUGUCUCUACUAAAAAUACAAAAAUUAGCCGGGCGUGGUGGCACACACCUGUAAUCCCAGCUACUUGGGAGGCUGAGGCAGAAUUGCUUGAACCUGGGAGGCGGAGGUUGCAGUGAACUGAGAUCACGCUACUUCACUCCAGUCUGACUGAAAGAGCAAAACUCUGUCUCAAUAAUAAUAAUAAUGAUAAUAAUAAUGAGUUGUUUAACCAGAGUCAGUGAUCUGUCAGCUCCCUCAGGCAGUCUCUCCAAUAUGUGCGGGGUGUCAAGGAAUCCUAGGGCCUACAGCUUAGUUUAGGUAAGGGAGCUAUGGGUAAUAAAAUCAAAAAGGGUCAAAUUCCAUGAAACCUUGAAUGCCAAGCCAGACUAUUUGAAUGGAAAGGGGCCCCACAACAGCCCCUUCUUGCUCCCUGCUACUGAUAACUUGCAGCCAGUUGCCCUGGACCUGGCCCUGGCCCUGGCCCCUCCUUUUCCUAACUCCCACUCUCAACUCUCAGAGACCUUGACCCAGCCUUGCCAGGACUCAUGGUCCUAAAUCAGCCAGGCAUCCUGUGGCAGAGUCUGUCAGGAGUGAAAGGAUGAGUUAUUUUUCCAGGCUGUCCCUUCUCCCCACUCAGAGACUUCUCAAGUCCUCGGGUUCAGUGAGAAACUUGCCAGAUCCAUCCUCCCCAAGCAUCCCUGUGCCACGAAUUUAGCUCUUCACUCAAAGUAAAAUCUCUGUGGAAGCAAUUUGGCAGAGUGGGAACUCAAGGGAAAACCAUCUCGAGGCAUGAGGUGGGCCUUCCCCAGAUCCCUCAAAUCUUACCACAGAGAUAUUCCUAUCAUUUAUUUAUUUAUCUCCCCCAGUUCAAAUGUGAGUAACACUGCCUUGUGGGGGAACCCACUCUAUGCAACUGUCCCACCUUCCCCAGUUUAGCUUUGUCCCACCCCCCACCGCCACUGUUAACCCAGCCAGUGAAGACCUCAAAGCCCUUCUCUCAGUCCCCCAGACCCACACCAUUCCCAGCUAGGCCAAAGACACUGCAGCCCCCAGCUGCAUCGAGUGAUUAAUGACCUCCCUAGACGUUGGGGCUAUUUUGGGUCCUGGAAGUCAUGCCUGCAAUGACUGAGAGCUGGCCCUGCCUGGCUCCAGCCAUCUGUCACUGGAGACAGGCCCAAGCAGGGGGCUUGGAGGUUGUAUGCUCCCCAGAAGAUUUCCAGGUAUGGUUCUGGCUCAGGACCAUCCAUCUACCCUCCUUUUGGGGGACAGAUGGCAAGGAGAGGCCACAGGCCCUAUCUAUACUCCAGGGGCUCAAGUGGAUACCCAUGGAGAGAGCCAGAAAAUGACAGAUCUCAGAAUGCCACAGGACCAGGUUGUUUUGGUCUGUUUGAGGUCAGGUACAGAGGAGACGUUGCGUUCUAUGGGCCCUGCCCAAGCAGUCAUAAGGAAAUGCAAGUGGAGAUGUGCAUACACCUCAGCAGUGCCGUGGGAUACUCAACAAUCCACACCUCAUACACUCCACAAAUUUCACACCAAGGUACAACCUCACGAAGGCUACACAACCAACUUAGAGGCUCAGGAACCCUCAACCCAGUCCUAAAGUACAGAACUCCAGGUACACACAGUCUCAGUGUCACAGAAUCCCAGUGAUCACAACCCCAGGGAGACACAGACUCAGCCAUACAUAGCCCAGUGAUGCACAACUUAGUAAUGCACAAUCCCAUUAAUACACACUCCCAGAGAGAGAGAAAACAGAGACAUACAAUCCUUAAGCCACACAAGUCUAUCAGUCCCAUGUCAU
rnacentral:lncRNA from 1 species